CCCGCUGAACUUAAGCAUAUCAAUAAGCGGAGGAAAAGAAACCAACAGGGAUUGCCUCAGUAACGGCGAGUGAAGCGGCAGCAGCUCAAAUUUGAAAUCUGACCUUCUGGUCCGAAUUGUAAUUUGUAGAGGAUGUUUCGAACAUGGUCCGGUCUAAGUUCCUUGGAACAGGACGUCAUAGAGGGUGAGAAUCCCGUAUGCGACUGGGUGCUUAAGUUCAUGUGAAACUCCUUCGACGAGUCGAGUUGUUUGGGAUUGCAGCUCAAAAUGGGUGGUAAAUUUCAUCUAAAGCUAAAUGUUGGCCAGAGACCGAUAGCGCACAAGUAGAGUGAUCGAAAGAUGAAAAGCACUUUGGAAAGAGAGUUAAAUAGUACGUGAAAUUGUUGAAAGGGAAGCGCUUGCAAUCAGACUUGCAUACAGUUGAUCAUCCGAUGUUCUCACCGGUGCACUCAGUUGUAUUCAGGCCAGCAUCGGUUCUGGUGGUUGGAUAAAGGCCUUGGGAAUGUAGCUUCUCUCGGGGAGUGUUAUAGCCCUUGGUGCAAUGCAGCCUACUAGGACCGAGGACCGCGCUUCGGCUAGGAUGCUGGCGUAAUGGUUGUAAGCGACCCGUCUUGAAACACGG
rnacentral:rRNA from 1 species